ACAUACAGUGUCGAUCAAAGUGGAGGCCCUCUCCGCGGCUUGGCGGGAAAGUGCAUCCAUUUUGUUUGUCUCUGUGUAC
rnacentral:pre_miRNA from 7 species